rnacentral:rRNA from 1 species
CUGGCUCAGGAUGAACGCUGGCGGCGUGCCUAACACAUGCAAGUCGAACGGGGUUAAGGGAGAUUUCGGAUGGAACUUAACUUAGUGGCGGACGGGUGAGUAACGCGUGGAUAACCUGCCUCACACUGGGGGAUAGCAGCUGGAAACGGCUGGUAAUACCGCAUAAGACCCCGGCACCGCAUGGUGCUGAGGUAAAAGAUUUAUCGGUGUGAGAUGGAUCCGCGUCUGAUUAGCCAGUUGGCGGGUAACGGCCCACCAAAGCGACGAUCAGUAGCCGGCCUGAGAGGGUGAACGGCCACAUUGGGGCUGAGACACGGCCCAAACUCCUACGGGAGGCAGCAGUGGGGAAUAUUGCACAAUGGGCGCAAGCCUGAUGCAGCAACGCCGCCGUGAGUGAAGAAGUAUUUCGGUAUGUAAAGCUCUAUCAGCAGGGAAGAAAGGCCCGAAAGGGAGAUGACGGUACCUGACUAAGAAGCCCCGGCUAACUACGUGCCAGCAGCCGC